rnacentral:rRNA from 1 species
CAGGAAAAGGAUUUAAGUCCUACCUUAAGUUUCUUUGUAACUCUAAUUACUUCACAAAACUUAAGAGCUAUUCAAAUAAGGUACAGCCUAUUUGAAACAGGAUACAACCUACAACAUUGGGUAAUGAAUUCUGCUUCAUAAUUAAGUGGGCCUAAGAGCAGCCACCUUUAAAAAAGCGUUAAAGCUUUAUUAUACUAGCACAAUAAUUACAUUAAUUCCCCAAAACCCUUACCCCCGUACUGAGUGACUUCAUAAUAUUAUGAAAAACCAUAUGCUAGAACUAGUAACAAGAAGAAGACCUUCUCCAAAAAUGUACAUAUAGGCCAAAAUGAACAACUCAUUGGCAUUUACCGCUUAUGAACUAACAGUAGUAACUCAACAAGAAAACUCUACUAUCCAUAACGUUAACCUUACACUAGCACAUUCCCGGAAAGAUUAAAAGGAAGGGAAGGAACUCGGCAAAUAAUAACCUCGCCUGUUUACCAAAAACAUCGCCUCCUGAAUAAUUAUAGGAGGUCCAGCCUGCCCAGUGACAAAGUUAAACGGCCGCGGUACCCUAACCGUGCAAAGGUAGCACAAUCACUUGUUCUUUAAAUGAGGACUAGUAUGAAUGGCAUCACGAGGGUUAUACUGUCUCCCCCACCUAAUCAGUGAAACUGAUCUUCCCGUGAAGAAGCGGGAAUAGAAUUAUAAGACGAGAAGACCCCAUGGAGCUUUAAACUCAACAUCAACUGCCCUCUAAAUAGCUUAUUAACCACGCAGAUCUGACAGUUAGUUUUCGGUUGGGGUGACCGCGGAGUAAAACAAAACCUCCACGAUGAAAGGAAUUAACCUCCUAAUCUAAGAGCUACAGCUCUAAGAAUCAACAAAUUGACAAAACUUGAUCCAAAUAUUUUGAUCAACGAACCAAGUUACCCUGGGGAUAACAGCGCAAUCCAUUUCAAGAGCUCAUAUCGACAAAUGGGUUUACGACCUCGAUGUUGGAUCAGGGUAUCCCAGUGGCGCAGCCGCUA